rnacentral:tRNA from 1 species
AUUUUUGUCGUCUAACGGUCAGGACAAUGAGUUUUCACCUCAUAAAUCUGGGUUCGAUUCCCGGCAGAAAUA